AGUGAACGCUGGCGGUAGGCCUAACACAUGCAAGUCGAACGGCAGCACAGUAAGAGCUUGCUCUUACGGGUGGCGAGUGGCGGACGGGUGCGGAAUACAUCGGAAUCUACUUUUUCGUGGGGGAUAACGUAGGGAAACUUACGCUAAUACCGCAUACGACCUACGGGUGAAAGCAGGGGAUCUUCGGACCUUGCGCGAUUGAAUGAGCCGAUGUCGGAUUAGCUAGUUGGCGGGGUAAAGGCCCACCAAGGCGACGAUCCGUAGCUGGUCUGAGAGGAUGAUCAGCCACACUGGAACUGAGACACGGUCCAGACUCCUACGGGAGGCAGCAGUGGGGAAUAUUGGACAAUGGGCGCAAGCCUGAUCCAGCCAUACCGCGUGGGUGAAGAAGGCCUUCGGGUUGUAAAGCCCUUUUGUUGGGAAAGAAAAGCAGCAGGUUAAUACCCCGCGGUUCUGACGGUACCCAAAGAAUAAGCACCGGCUAACUUCGUG
rnacentral:rRNA from 1 species